AGUAACGCGUGGGUAACCUGCCUUAUACAGGGGGAUAACAGUCAGAAAUGGCUGCUAAUACCGCAUAAGCGCACAGAGCUGCAUGGCUCAGUGUGAAAAACUCCGGUGGUAUAAGAUGGACCCGCGUUGGAUUAGCUUGUUGGUGGGGUAACGGCCCACCAAGGCGACGAUCCAUAGCCGGCCUGAGAGGGUGAACGGCCACAUUGGGACUGAGACACGGCCCAGACUCCUACGGGAGGCAGCAUG
rnacentral:rRNA from 1 species